UACGUAGGGUGCAAGCGUUGUCCGGAAUUAUUGGGCGUAAAGAGCUCGUAGGCGGUCUGUCGCGUCGGAUGUGAAAAUCCAGGGCUCAACCCUGGACCUGCAUUCGAUACGGGCAGACUAGAGUUCGGCAGGGGAGACUGGAAUUCCUGGUGUAGCGGUGAAAUGCGCAGAUAUCAGGAGGAACACCGGUGGCGAAGGCGCCACUCUGGGCCGAAACUGACGCUGAGGAGCGAAAGCGUGGGUAGCAAACAGG
rnacentral:rRNA from 1 species